rnacentral:rRNA from 1 species
GGAAUUUUCCGCAAUGGGCGAAAGCCUGACGGAGCAACGCCGCGUGAGGGAUGAAGGCCUCUGGGCUGUAAACCUCUUUUAUCAAGGAAGAAGAUCUGACGGUACUUGAUGAAUAAGCCACGGCUAAUUCCGUGCCAGCAGCCGCGGUAAUACGGGAGUGGCAAGCGUUAUCCGGAAUUAUUGGGCGUAAAGCGUCCGCAGGCGGUCUUGUAAGUCUGUCGUUAAAGCGUGGAGCUUAACUCCAUUUAAGCGAUGGAAACUGCAAGACUAGAGUGUGGUAGGGGCAGAGGGAAUUCCCGGUGUAGCGGUGAAAUGCGUAGAUAUCGGGAAGAACACCAGUGGCGAAGGCGCUCUGCUGGGCCAUAACUGACGCUCAUGGACGAAAGCCAGGGGAGCGAAAGGGAUUAGAUACCCCAGUAGUC